GUGAGGAAUAUUGGUCAAUGGGCGCAAGCCUGAACCAGCCAUCCCGCGUGAAGGAAGAAGGCGCUAUGCGUUGUAAACUUCUUUUCCAGGGGAAUAAAAUUUUGUACGAGUACGGAAUUGAAGGUACCCUGGGAAUAAGCAUCGGCUAACUCCGUGCCAGCAGCCGCGGUAAUACGGAGGAUGCGAGCGUUAUCCGGAUUUAUUGGGUUUAAAGGGUGCGUAGGCGGAUUAAUAAGUCAGUGGUGAAAACCUGCAGCUUAACUGUAGAACUGCCAUUGAUACUGUUAGUCUUGAGUAUGGUCAAGGUAGGCGGAAUGUGUAAUGUAGCGGUGAAAUGCUUAGAUAUUACACAGAACACCGAUUGCGAAGGCAGCUUGCUGGGCCAUUACUGACGCUGAUGCACGAAAGCGUGGGGAUCGAACAGGAUUAGAAACCCUAGUAGUCC
rnacentral:rRNA from 1 species